UUUUGGUAUGUUGAAUGCAAAAUGCUUUUGAGGCAUCGCAUGGUGAGGCACCGGUAACGAAAUGGUUUAACAAGAAUCAGUCAACUGACAAAACAAUAAUGCCUGUCAUGAGCUAUAAUAAGUAAUGCUGUGCUUGCAGACUAUCAUGGCAUGUAGUCUCAAAGGAAAUCUACUCAUCAGCAUGUCCUGUUAUGAAACUCCAAAAUCAUCAUACUGUCUGGGGUAAAACCUGACUUCGCUUCAAGCAGAAAUGCAUGCCAAUGAUGUCUUCCCAUCAACAAGUAGACAUCUGAGAUCUCCAAGAACCUUCCAUCAGCCAAGUGUCUUCUCGUAACACUGGGAUGUUCAAAGCGGAUAUUCAAAAAGGCUUGCUAUUCUCCAAUGAGAUCUACUCAUCCAAAUAAAAAUGUAGAUGUUCAAGGCUGGGGCAAAAUUUAUUAGUUCUUUGGGACAGUCCUUUCAUGCACGACCACGACCCUGCUGGUUUUAAAUGGCCGUUUACGAACUCGUAUAGGAUUUGUUAGGGAACUUUUUCAAAAUUUCCUCAGAUUUACAUUAAACUUACAGGGUUUGAAGAUAAUGAUAGCAGAAAGCUUCCCUUCAAACAUUCCUUACUGAGGUGCGGUAGUUUUUUAGAUAAUGAGUAAGACAAGUCACAAAAUAAUGUUUGCCUCAAAGAGACGAAAAUUAUUUUAGCAUGUAAAAUCCCUUUAACCAGUUAUGAUAGUUAUCAUAAGCAUGUAUAACUGGUUUUACAUGCUAAAAUUAAGACGAAAUUUGUUUGCUAUUGUACUCAUUUCCCUAAAAAACUACAGCACCUUGCAGUAGGUACAAUUUCAAGGGAAGCUUUCUACUAUCAUAAUAUUCAAACUG